GGGUAAGUCUUUCACGACCAGCUCCUGCCAAAUCCCCCAGGUUGGGAACAAAGCAAGGGUAGGCGGUUGAGCGGUGCGAUGAAAGUAGCUUACCCUUU
rnacentral:SRP_RNA from 1 species